GUCCCUGUUGCGGGCGGGGCCAGCGUUGUCACUGCCGCUGGGGGCAGCACGUAUUGCUGGAUAAAAACAAAUAGAUAAAAACAAAAAACUGCGGAUGCUGGAAAUCCAAAACAAAAACAGAAUUACCUGGAAAAACUCAGGCCUGGCAGCAUCGGCGGAGAAGAAAAGAGUUGACGUUUCGAGUCCUCAUGACCCUUCAACAGAACUGAGCGAAUAUAAGGAGAGAGGUUGAUAAGUUGCAGCUUGUGGAAGAGCAAAGCCAGGAAGAAUCAGAGGUCAGCAGCUGUGCGUUGCACAGUGGCACCACCGGAGAGGCGAUGGCUGCUGUCAGUAAUGCACCCACCCGAGGCCUAGGGUCGCCAUGACCUCCAACUGGUACACUCAGCUGCAGGAUGUGCCAUGGCUGUCAUUCAUGUUGAUCUCUGCCCCGUUGUUGUGCAUUGAAAGAGAACAAUGGAAGGCUAUUAGCAAAUGGUAAUUUUUCAGCAUCCAUUUGGCUCAAACUAUAGAACCUGAAGCUUUCCUUGGACUAUCAGUCCGUGCUGUUCCCGUCCUGGGGAAAGUGAAUGGCCACCACGUUGAAAGAAGGCCAUGGAAAUUUUAGAAGAAGCAAAAGCUUAAAAACCCUGUUAAAUGAAGAGAGCACUGGAUAUUAUCGAAUACUCCUGUUUUGCAAUGUGGCAGGGCAGAGUAACGUAAAGCACGGGUAAAAUAUGACUAUGUAAAGAAGAUUUAUAGUUCAUGUGUUCUAAUAGAGAGUUAAGGUUCACUGAAAAAUACAGCUAAACUGGAUUUAUGCAGCAUUAUGUUAAAACUAAUAAAACUUCUAUUCGAGAAAAGCUGAGAGACUCAAAAAUUGGUAGUUUAUAAAAUAUUUGCCCAAAGUGGCUUUUUAGUUCAAUACUGUAGAGGGCUGCGACUUAUAGGCCUUUGCCUCAGAAGGGAAAAAGUCCAAAUUGCGCUUAAUCCCAGUAACACCAUUCAUGGUUCCCACUGAUGGAGACCAGACAUUUCCUGAUUGAUGGAUCCAAACAAAAGCACAUUUAAUCCAUACAAGUUCACAAAAUGUCCCAACCAAUAUAACAAAGUAGUUUGUAGGAUAAAAGCGAGUUGGAGGUUCUGCAAGAAUAAAGAACAUUAUGCAAAAACUCUGCAACACUGAUGUAGUGUUUCACAUUAUAAUUAAUUUGGUAUCUGCUAUAAAUGUGACAUUUCUAAAGUUUUAGUUAUAUAUUAUAGAUUUGGGAAAAGCAACAUAUAAAAUUGUUUGAAUUCUGUGUUCUAAUCUUUUUAUUUCAAUGUAUUUUAGUUAGCUAUGGUAACAACUUGAGUACAAUACUAUUUUUGUUACAAAUAUGAGGCUUUAUAACAUUGUUAUAUCUUGGGACUAUAUCUUUAAUUUAUGGUGAAAUGAAGAGGGUUAUGUGACCCGUUCUGAAGUCUGCCUGACAACGGGCCUGCGUGAUGCGAUUGUUAAAGAUUAACGGAAGGCCUGGGUUGUUUGCUGGAAAGAAAGUGUAAGGUGUUCACAUUAGGAGACAAUGACAGCAUCUGCAUUUGCAGUGGUUAGACUGCUAGUCUCCAAAGUCUCAGGGAGGUGUUGAGGAUGUUGGGCUGUAAACAACUAUGCUUCAAACUAUCUAUUUACUUACAAGAUAAAAAGCACUUGGGGUUGCAAGGAUAGCUAUUUAGCAUUUCUACCUGGAUACCAGGCCCAUGUGAUUCAUGUUACCUUGGAGAUGGGCUUUGAGAGGGGAAGCCCAAAACUCAGAGAUACAGGAAGUCUGCCAGAAUCUGGGAGAGAGAGAGAGCAGUUAGAGGCCAGAAGUCUCUAUGUUUUAUUUCGCAGGAAUGCAGGUGGGAGCUUGUGCUCAGAGGCGCUAUUGAGAGCUGCAAUCGCACCGCAACUUCCAGCGUUCGCACUUGCAUCGAAAACUAGAUGUUACUGUGUGCCUCAAUGGGCUUAAAAGGGACAGGGAACUCAGGAACUCGGCCUGAUUGCCCGGAAAUUACAUUUGUUUUUAUGGAGAUUUUUUCUUUAAGGUUUAUAAGCAGGUGCAGAACCUGCUCCGGAGCACAUUCCUUUAAACACGAACCAACAAGGAGUUAAAACACUCCUACUCCUUGUGAGUUCCUUAGAAAAGGAAUAUGACAGAAUCUGCGUUGGAAAUCAUUGCUGUUGCGGUUCAAUGAAUACAUGCCUCCCCUCCUCACCCUGACAUAUUGGACCCUUAGCUGCCUAUUUUAUAUCUGCAAGACAGGAGCAGCUCGAUCUAAUUUCAAUUGUAGGCCCACAUAUUUAAUUGAAUUUCAAAAGUUCUUAAAAGAAGGAAAGUACAGAAUUAUAAAAGGAUGAGUAAUGUAACAUUAAAGCAUUACUUAGAAGAUGCAAGCCUGAUUGCUUUCACCCUAACAUUCACAUCUGAAGGAAUAAAUGUGGUGCAGCAAGUGAACAAAGCAGGACCACAGUACAGGAUGUACUAGCUGCCAAGUGUCACACCCAACUUUGAAAUAGCCAGCCUCACAAACCUGUCUGUACACCUAAAUGACUGGUAUUGUACCAGCUUUUCAAACUCCUCCAGAAUGUUCCAUUAAAUUAUUAUUGAAAAGCAAUGUGAAAUGAUGCUAGCA